GGUGGGUAACUUCCGCCAGACUUUUCUGGAGAUGGCUAAUCCAGCCGUGGGAUGUGGUUUCUUCUAACAGCCAGUCAGGAAAAUCUUGCUUCUCAAACUCCUGUCUUGACCCCUUCCUGAACUUUGCCUCCUGGAUCUUGAGGUCUGCCUUCUGUGGAAGAGAAAUACUAGAAUCAAUGAACUGUGAACUAGAGCCCUGGGAUUAUCAACAGCCAGCUGAAAUUUUGAGAGCCACCUUAUAGAAAGCCUAACAGCAAAGACUGGAGAGAGGCUUCCAGCCAACAGCCAGCAAGGAAUUGAAGCCCUCAGUCCAAUAGCAGUGAGGAAUUGAAUCCUGCCAACAGCCUCGUGGAUGGGUUGCUUGCUGCCUGAAUCUAACUCCUGCUACUACUGCAAAUACCACUGCCAUGAAUAUCCUCAGCAAGACCCCCUUCCAGACCUGCAUGAACAGUUGUGUGAAAUGUAUAUGCACAAAGGGACUGCAAGGGAAGACCCAGAGACUAGGGAAGAACUUGGAACAAUAAUCUCAGUUUCUUCAAUUCCUAAACUUGAGAGUAUUGCUGUUUUUAAAUGAAAGUAUUUUUUCCCCCUAAGCAUUUUGUUCUAAAGUUGAGCUGCCUUUGAGGGGAAAUAAAGAGACUACCAGAUUAAUGGGUUUUUUUCAAAUGGGAUGGUGGGGUAAGGAAUAAUCGGGGUGGUCUGUGGAACAACUUGGAGGAUUGGUGUUAUGUCUCAAGAAGAUAUUCAAGUAUGUUCCUCCUUUUUUACCCAGACCGACUGCUUCAUGCUGGGCUUCAGACAUGAGAGGCUAGGAGUAGGAGGCAUGCCUUGUUCAAAGAUACCCAGUUCUCCCAGGACCAUUUGUUGAAAAGGCAGGCACCUCAUUUUACAGAAGAGGAAACUGAGGCCCAGAAAGAGAAGUGGCAUGCCCAAGGCUGUGCCAGAAGCAAAGUGUAAAAUAGAUCCUGAGCCUCCGACUCCUGGUCUUAAAUGUGGGAAAUAGUCUACAGUUUGGAAGACACCAGAGAAAAAUGCUCCACAGCUCGCCCUGGUGACUCACUACAACUUAUGGGAAGAUGUGAGAUUAUUCUGUAUUCUAAUGUAUGUUAGAAGGCACACUCCACCCAAAGCCUUCCUGUGUGUUCCUCCCUGUGAGCUCACAUCCCGUUCACCAGCUGACUGGGAAGGGAAGUCAGGACCAGCCCUGACCCCAUCACACCAUCAUAACCUCGGGAUGGCAGGGCUGGAAGGCACCUCAGACGUCAUCCUUUGCAGACUCUUCAUUUUACAGUGAGAGGCAUGACGUGUCCACAGCUGGUUAGUGCCAAAGCCUGGGACAGGCUUCACAUUGUCCAGCUCUUAGUCAGAGCACUGUUGACAAUGUCUGCCUUCACUUGGAAUUCAGCACCUGCUUUCAGUAUAAACCCCUGCAUUUCACUAAAACUGAGCAGACUGCUGGUUUAAAAAAGAGAGGUCCAUCCAGCAGGGAUGAUGCUUUUCCUCGUUGAAAGAGGACAUUCACCUAAUGGGAGACCUGGAGUCAGAAUCUUUCUGAUGUGUGACUUGGCACAGUAACACAAUGCAGGAUGCUGGUGUGUUAAUAAAAAUAAAAAUUGCAUCGCCUACCUCAGAGUCGACAACAAUGUCAAGGAGUUAAUAGUCUUGGCAACACAGAGGCCACUGGACAGAGGCAUAACCUUGCGUGGCAGCUGCACGGGAAUUGGAUUUGGCUCAGGUGUUUCAGAUGACUAAGAACAAAGGGGACCACUCUUGGUAUAGAAGUUCAUCUCGUCGGGAGCAUCUGUGGUUCUUUUAUAAGCAAUGUACAUUCUACAAUAGAGGCAGACCCAGAAAUAAUUCAGAUAUUGGAGUUAGAAGAUCAGGAUUCUAAAAAAACCAAAAGAUCCUGCCUUACUAUGCACCUAUGGCCCUUCAAAGGCGAGAGUAGAAUCUGCUAUGAUUUAGAAGCAAGCAAUAAAAAGUACACAUCAGGGUGCCUAGAGACUUCACCUCUAUUUCCAUGAGGGACUGAACAGCCUCUUGAGAAGGGACUCAUCAAAAUGGAAGAGUUGGCAAUAAGAAGUUUGGCUAAAUAACCAAGCACUGAAGUUGCAGAGGAGAAAGGAUUUGAAAGGCAGUACAGUGUCCAGGGGCAAGUUGGCAAUUUUUAGCAGGAGGUGAAGUGAUGCCAGCAGAGGUAACAGUGCUCAGAGGGACCAGUAGUCCCCAGGAGGAGCAGGGGAAUCCCCAGUGGAUCUGAUUUGUUCAAGAGCACAUGUGAGAUUAUCAGCUGGCGUUACAAUUUUGGAGUGGCAGUGAGAAGCAGUGAAUUUGAGGUCACUCAAUUUGCAGACCCCAAAGGGUGAAAUGUUGAGAAACAUGAGUUACACAUGUAUUUAACAGCUCUUGUGUAUUAUCACAAAUCCUAUUUCACCUCUCAUGCCCCCGAGGCUUUGGUGUCCAGUUCUCUGAAGACUUCAUCAAUCCUCAGCCAUAAAUCACCUGAGAGCAACUCACCUUGCUUCAUACUAUGAAGCUCCCUGAUGUCACAGCAUGGCAGGCCUGUGGCAACCCCUCAACACUUAUGCAUGAUCCCAAACAGCUAGAGGAUUAACACCUACGGUGUAACCCUUGACCAGCAGGAAAUGGAAAUUACUGUCUUUUUGUCCCCGCAGGUGAAUGGUUCUAAAAUGCAUUUUAUAAGCCUUCUGAAAUAGUCCCACAGGUCAAGCACCUACUUGCUCCAGUGGUGACCAACUCAAUGAUGCAUCCUUGGGUUGACUCUCCCUCCUUUCCAGUUCACUUUCCCCGCCCCUCACUCCUGCACCUCAGCAUCACAUUCCUGAAUAAACCACUCACACAUCUGUCUUAUUUCAGACUCUGUUUGGGGGAAUCCACAAUAAAAAUUUGUCAUUUUGAGUUAAACAUUGCUCUCACCUUGAAGACAUAUUUCCAUACCUAGAGAUUUCUGAAGUUCUCUCCCUUUUCCUAUCAUCUCCUUUGUGCUUUGUCUGACCUCCAUGUUACAGAGCCCCAUGAUAUUUAGAGCCAGUACUGCUAGGGAAGUAGUUCAGUUGUGUUUUAAAUGGUUCAGCAACUUGUAACAUCAACUGAGAACCAGAGGAAUACACUUGGAGGCCAAGAAAAAAAUGUUAGCUAAUAUGUACCAUACAGUAUGAUUCCUUGGGUAAGGGAAAGUAUAUGCAAGUGACAGAGGAAAAUUGAAAGUUGUAGCCCUUUUUUGGACUUUAGAUUUGGAAUUAAAGUUUCUCUUCUCUUGAAAGACCUUCUUUUUGUGGAUAAUGAUGAAUCUGAAGACCAGAACAGUGGGCCAAUUUGCCUUAGUUGAGAGUGGCAAAUAAAUGAAGAACUGAAGAACGUAUCUCUUUAACUAGUGCUCCUUUGUUGAGAAGAUACAAAACAAACAAUUGAAGGGUAUGGAUGAAGCCAUUGGCUUAUUCAUGUCUCUGUUGAUCAUAAUGAGAUUAAUAUAUAUAGGACAUUCACACAAAGAGGAUAUUGACUCGAUGGCUUACAGAUUAUUAGAGUUAGAAAUGUGACCUACUACUAAAGGAAGAAUGUUUCAGGUGUGGAUCUCUGAUUUAAAAAAUACACCACACUUGCCUCAGUGAAGCAAGUCAACUUAGGUGCUGAUACAAUGCCACUGCAGCUGUGCUGAGUUCAUGAAAUCAGAUCCCACUCUCUUCACCUACCCCUACCGUAUUCAUCCUACUUUCCGUCUGCUCUGCCCUUCCCAUUUGGUAACCUAGUCAUGAAACACCUGGCUCUGGGUCCUUCCUUCAGCAUCACUCCACGUUGUACUGCUGGCAUCGCUUUUCUUGGCACAGAACCUCUUAGGGCUGCUAUCCUAGGAGUAGGUGCUACUCAGGCUGGCUUAGUCCCAGGCUUCACUCACUUCUUGGCCCAUGGCCAGGAGGACCGGAAAGAACAAACUCUCUGCACAUCUCUGCAGGUGGCCACAGAGCCCCCAUCUGAGCCUUGCUGAUGGAGAAGAGCAUGCUGCAUCACAAGAUAACUGUGUGGCUCUGUUCAAAAACCUUGUUUAGAAGUUAUUAUUUCUUUUAUUGCAUUAGAAUUUGCCUCACUGUAGCUUUUGUGCUUCUGUCCUGGUUCAGCCUUAGAUAGCAGUGCAGCCUGGUCCAUGUGAAAGCUCUUGCAAUAGGCCUUUCUGCUAGUCAGGAGUUCUCAGACCCAUCCCUACUCUUCACUUUUCUCAAGACUAAUAUCAGACUCCUGGGCUCUUCAAGGUUUCCUCAUAUGAUAAAAGUUCUAAGCCCUCCAUUGUCCUAGUCACUGUCCUCUCUGUUCCAUCCCUGUCUGCCCUUCCAAGAUGCUGCACCUGGAGAUGAAUUUGUCCUUCCUGGGGCAAGUCACCAUGAGAUGAUUACUUUUGGAUCAUACUGAAUUUGUGGGUUAAAUAAACUCAUAGGUCUUUAUCUCAUGCACUAAAUCCAAAUUCGAUCUCUUGCCGUAAAUCAUUUUUUUGAAUAGCUGAACAAUAAGUAAAUAAUACACAAAUGAAAACUAAUCAAUAUUUGAACAUCCUCAGUAUUUUCAGCCCUAGUUUGAGCCAGACAUAGCUCAUCUUGUAUACUUCACUAAGGACACUUUAUACGAUCAAGCAAUUAAUAUUAUGAUGUCAUGUCUCGCAAGCCCCAUAGUGUCACUUCCAGUCUCUUCACCACAAAGAACGUUGAAGCCUUCGUAUUUUUUUGAAAAUCAUAUUUCUAGCUGCAGGAUGGGAUGUAAGAAAAGUUCAGAUUAGGAUUAUUCUAGGCUCCUGACUAUAACUAAAAUCCUGAUUUUUUAUGGAAAGGAAUGAGGAUCAUUCCUUCAAAUUAGAUUUUUGUGAUAAAAAGAAAAAAGUUGGUAAUCUAUUCAAAAUUGUAACAAAAAUAACUGCAUUUUUCUUUGGAAAAUAAUAGUUGAUUCCUUUUUGCUUUUUUUACUUAUGAAUUGGGGUGCAAUAGAGUUUAAUAAAAAUGAUGUGAAACACUCUUAUAAGGCUAAUUUAUCACAUUUGCUUCAAGGAAUUGUCCUUUCUAACAAAAUUGUGAAAUGGAACUGAACAGUAGCAUGAUGAGGCCUCUACCAGGAGGAGGUACAGAACAAGGCAGGAGGUCAGUGGUUAAAGGACUCCUUGCUUAUGCUCAAGAAAUGUGGACCUUAUUAGAGGUGACACAGUGAAAUCAGUCACCUGAUUUCGCAGGUGACUGUGGAGCAAGAAUGCAAAUCCACAAUAUUAGGAUGAAUGUGAGAGGAGAAGGGAAGGAGGCCAUGAGGGAAAAAAGGACAUCUAAUUGGGUCUGAAAGGAAGGGUAGAAUUUAAGUAAAGAGCACUGUGUACAUAUGGGAAUACCAUGUACUUUCUCAUGGAGAGAGGCCUUCUGACAGUCCUGCAUUGAUCCUGCUUCUUUGACCAUCCCUUGUUAGCCAGCAGGUCAUUUGGCCUCACUAGUUGCCUCAGUGCUGAGUGAUAGACUCAGCAGUCCCCAGCCUCUUUGGCACCAGGGACUGGUUUUGUGGAAGAUAAUUUUUCCAUGGAUCAGGGAGAGGAUGGUUUCAGGAGGAUUUAAGU
rnacentral:lncRNA from 1 species